rnacentral:rRNA from 1 species
CGGGCCGCACAGCGUGGAGCAUGUGGUUUUAAUUCGAAGCAACGCGAAGUAACCUUACCAGGUCUUGACAUCCCGAUGCUAUUUCUAGAGAUAGAAAGUUACUUCGGUACAUCGGUGACAGGUGGUGCAUGGUUGUCGUCAGCUCGUGUCGUGAGAUGUUGGGUUAAGUCCCGCAACGAGCGCAACCCCUACGUUUAGUUGCUUAACGCGUGAAGGCGAGCACUCUAGACGAACUGCCGUUGACAAAACGGAGGAAGGUGGGAUGACGUCAAAUCAUCAUGCCCCUUAUGCUCUGGGCUACACACGUGCUACAAUGGCCGGUACAGACGGACGCAAAGCCGCGAGGUGGAGCAAAUCCUAAAAAGCCGGUCUCAGUUCGGAUUGCAGGCUGCAAUUCGCCUGCAUGAAGUCGGAAUCGCUAGUAAUCGCAGGUCAGCAUACUGCGGUGAAUACGUUCCCGGGCCUU